rnacentral:rRNA from 1 species
GACGAACGCUGGCGGCGUGCCUAAUACAUGCAAGUCGAACGCAGUGGGGACGGGUUAGUAACACGUGGGUAACCUCCCAUCAGCGGGAAUAACACUUGGAAACAGGUGCUAAACCGAUACUGAGGGUUGGACCCGCGGUGCAUUAGCUAGUUGGUGAGGUAACGGCUCACCAAGGCGACGAUCCAUAGCUGCCCUGAGAGGGUGAGCGGCCACACGGGAACUGAGACACGGUCCAGACUCCUACGGGAGGCAGCAGUGGGGAAUAUUGCACAAUGGGCGAAAGCCUGAUGCAGCCAUGCCGCGUGUAUGAAGAAGGCCUUAGGGUUGUAAAGUACUUUCAGCGGGGAGGCGUUACCCGCAGAAGAAGCACCGGCUAACUCCGUGCCAGCAGCCGCGGUAAUAC